GUAGGUGAACCUGCGGAAGGAUCAUUACAACGUAUCCAACGUAAACAAACGCGAACUUCCCUUUGGGACGCGGGACCAAACGCAGGCAGCUGCUUUGGUUAUGAAGUUAGUUAGGCUGAACUGCUAACAGAGUGUUUCGUCGAUGGAGGCUUGCCUGGACAGUCCAGGCUUGCCUGAAACACCAGUUCUUGGCCCGGAUUAGUUCCUUGUGAACGUGUCCGAACUUCGCCUGCCCCAAAGUGUAUUUAAC
rnacentral:misc_RNA from 1 species